CUGGGCUGGAUUUUAAAGCUGUACGGCAGUGAACGGGACCCUGGUGCAGCCCCAAGGCGGGCGGGGGGCGUCCGGGGGGCGACCGGGCUCUGCGGCCGCAGCGCGUUCCUGGGAGUGCGCCCGCCCCGGCUGAGCGCCCCCGUCACCGGACCCUUCUCGGUGGCCAAGCCCGGCGUGAGAUCCCGUGAACACAAACCCUUGCAGCAAAAGUGGUGCCCACCGCGCCCACCCUGUCUGGGGGAGUGUAUGUGGGGGUGCGCAGUCUACCCAGUGCCGCCAGCACCACCUUGCACUACCGGCCGGUUAUCCUGGGGCGCGGGAUGACACAAUGAUCUGCUGGGCCGAGCCCGCGGAGGCUUCCCCCUCGCAUACAUGUGCGUGCAAUGUGCGGCGCACAUGGCCGAGCCGGAGGGGGCUGCAGCAUUCCUGAUGAGUGGCUCAUUUGACAAGUCUUGUUUAUCGCAUGCUUCGAGACACGAGAGGUGGCCGCGUGUGCCGCUUGCCAAGCGCUGGGGGACCGAGUGGGCUCGAUGGUUUGAGGUCCUCCUUCUUCAGCGUCUUUUUUUCUGCUGUAAAUUUGGCAAGUUAUUGACAAAACUGUUUGGGUUAAAUCAUGUAAGAUCCAGCAACUGCUACAGGCGAGGAGGGCUUCGCGAACCCUUUGUACUUCAGAGUUCUUUCCCCACUGUGCAGUCCUCAGCCAAAGGUUUUUUAUUGCACCUCUCACGUCUCAUAUGCACCCAAGUACAGGAAAUAGGAGCGUUCCCCCAGCCAUGCCAUAACUCCGCAUUAUUUCCCUUGCAUUCGUCUGCGACUGCGAGUCCACGGGGGGGAGGAGGGAGUGCGGAGGAGGGGGCACAUUACCGAAGAAGCCCUGGGAAAUCCAAACAGGCUGCAAGACCAGCUCCGCUAUCAAUAAAUGCAUUCACUCAUUCAAAGCCAUUCCAGGGCUAAUAAAAUCCCUUCAAGAGCCCAACGUGGGGAAAGACACAUCUCGGCCCGGCUGAGUCCGCUGCUGCUGCACACAUGCCCCUAGGAUCAAGAGCUCGCCCGCCCCGACGGGCGCUGCCCGCCAGGUCUAGUCCAAAUCAAAGCUCUUCAGAAAUACGAGAAAACUCAGCACAUAUUCUUCAAUCUGUCAUUUUCACACUGAAUUAAAAGAGUGUUAUGGAAAAUCUUAAGGAUGGCUCCAGAGUAGCACUUGUUGAUGGGCUGAGCUGGAGCAGAGUGAAGAUGGUGAAGAAUUUCCAUUGACUCCAGUGGACCUGAGAGCAGCAGUGACUCAGCAGGGCAGGGCAUGGAGCUCUUUGUCAAGACAUUUAUGACUUCCUUAAGAUGUGGCAUGUGACACCAUUAUGACUUUUUUUUUUCUUUUUUCUUUUUUUUUUUUUUUUUUU